AUCAACCUGAACCACUGCAGUGACAAUGCCAGAUCCUUAACCUACUAGGCCAUAACGGAACUCUUGGAAUUGCAAAUCUUGAUACACUGCUUUGUAGAAGUGCCUUUUUGAAUCAGAGCUGACAGUGUAUAACACCAGAGAUGGCAGAUCCUACCCAUCUGACACAUACACCCUACAACUUUCAAAAAUCCACAGUCAUGUGAGCAGCAAAAGGGGGAAGCGAGGUUUUAUGUACCAUCCUGAGGUAGUUCCAAGGGAUGGAUUCCUCUUUUGGGUUUAACCAUUUUCCAAUACAAGGCAAAAACCCAAAGCUUUGUCUAUAGAGGUAGAAGAGCCAAAGACUGAAUUCUAAGUCCGCUACUAUUUACUGUGUAACCUUAGAGAUGUUAACUGGCCCUCUCUGAGUCAUCCAUAGAAAUGAGAACAAUAAUAAUUAACUUCCAGGUUUUGGAAUAGCUCCUCUCUCACAGCUCUCAGAAGGGACUAAUCCUACUAACAUCUUGAUUUCAGACUUCUGGCCUCUAGAACUAGGAGACAAUAAGCUUCUAUUUAUAAACAGCCACUCAGUAUGUGGUACUUUGUGAUGGCAACCCUAUGAAACUAAUACACAGAGCAAUGUACAGGUAAGUCUGACAUAUGACAUAUAUAAUUCUCUGUGAAAUUCUUAGAGAAUUCAAGGCAUUCAAAUGAUUCUUCCUUAAUUUUCUAAUUCUCACUCUCAUUAUCAAUCACCCACCACACCCCCAAAUGUCACUUUUUCCCCAAACCAUAAUGAAAUUCUCUAGCUGCCCAAAGUUAUGCAAUCCCUUACCUGAAAUUCUCAGGGCCAAAUGUUUGGAAUUCAGAAAUUUUCAGAUUUUAUAAAAGUAUUAUAAGUGCAUAUAGCAUCUAUUAUAUAAAACUUUCAAUGUAGUAUGGUGAUACACCCUAUAAAAACAUUAAACACAAAACAUAAAAACAUUAAUAUUUCUACAACUAAAUAUGUGAAUAUUAAUACUAAUGGCGAUAAAGAGAAACCACACAUAGCCUCACAUCACUUCAGGUCAAUUUUGUUGUCAAAUGAAUUAAAAACCUUCAGUUUUUAGGAGUUCCCAUUGUGGCUCAGCAGUGACGAAACUGACAAGUGUCCAUGAGGAUGUGGGUUUGAUCCCUGGCCUCACUCAUUGGGUUAAGAAUCUGGCGUUGUGGUGUAGGUUGCAGACGAGGCUUGGAUCCCAGCAUUGCUGUGGCUGUGGCACAGGCUGAUGGCUACAGGUCCUAUUCAACCAUUAGCCUGGGAACUUCCAUAUGCCCCAGCUGUGGCCCUAGAAAACAAAAAUAAAAACAAAACAAAAAGAAAAAAAAAAAAGAAAAACCUUUCCUUUUUAAAGGUUUUGGGAUUUCAGAAUGGCUAGUUAAGGACUGAGAACCUAUAGACCAUUCUAUCCCUCCGUGUAUUCUGUUUCCUUCACUUGAAGUGCCCUACUGCUAUCCUCAGCCCUACUAAAUUCCUGCGCAUGUUUAUAACCCAGUUCAAAGAGCACCAAUCCAAGAAACCUCCUCACAUUACUUAGGUAGCUGGGUAGUUUUCCCCACCUCCUUCCAUGAUAUCUUCUCCAUACAUAUCUCUAAGUUAGCAAUUCUCACAAUGACUGUGUACACAUGCAAAAAGAACACCUUUCUCCAGGUCCUGAAAGAUAAUGAAGGUCAAUGCUAUGUAUCUUCAUCUUAACAUACACAAAGGGCUACUUGCUAGUAAAGUACUAAGUGUGCCAGAAGUUUCUAACAUUUAGCAUUUAUAAAUGAAAGUUAGUGUGUCUGAGAGGAUACUUAUUCUGGUUCGAUUCUCUACUAAGAAGUCUGACUGCCCUGCAAAGCUGCUCAACAUUGCAAAGUGCCUCCUCUACAUUCACACAAGCAGAUAGAUGGAAUUUUGCUUUUGAAGAACACUUUAUUAUGGGCACAUUAUCAAUACUAUAAAUUGGAGAUCGCUUAUAUUUGUUACACUUAGUAAGAAAUGACUAUUAAUUUAACUUCAUCAUGAAUUUACCUGGUUAAUCCUUUAGUGUGAAGAAAUGUAUAUUUACAACAAAAUUAUUACAGCCUACAGUUUUUGUUUUGUUUUGUUUUGUUUUGUUUCUUCUUAGGGCCAUACCUGCAGCAUGUGGAAGGUCCUGAGCUAGGGGUUCAAACUGGAGCUGCAGCUGCAACACCAGAUCCAUGUUGUGACCUACACCACAGCUUGCAGCAUUGUCGGAUCCUUAACCCACUGAUGGAGGCCAGGAAUCAUGGAUCUAGCAUCUUCAUGGAUACUAUGUCUGGUUCUUAACCCACUGAGCCACAAUGUGAACUACAAGCCUACAGUUUUUACAGUACUAGACUAAGUAUUAUGAUUCAAAUAUUAACCAUAUAUAUUUCACUAAUCCCAAAGUAAAUUCAUCAUAAUCACCAUCUGAAAUUUUCCACCGCUGGAAGGAAGAAGAGGGUGGGGUUGGUAAGCCACAAAAUCUUCAGCCCCUCCCAAGCAGGCUGUGUUCAAAAGUUUGAAACCACUGCCUUAAAGUGACAACACUUUUAUUUAACCUCUGUAUUCUCAUUGCUUGCCACAGAGUGGGCAUUGAGCAAAAGUUUGUCCACUGGCUGAAUAAAUGAACACUUUAAAAACCAAAAACAUCCAGGAUUUAGCUGACAACCUCCUCCAUGUAUGGCAAUGAUAGAUAGGGUUAAGAUAAUUGUAUGAUUCCUAUGUUUCUUAAAAUACAGAGGAAACUGUAAUGUUCUCUUAGCUUCCCUUUAAUGCUGUAUUUGGAGAGGAGCCACAGCAAUCCCUCUGCUUCCUUCCUGUCAUCUCCUUCAGAAGAGCCAACUCAUUUGGGCUCUCAGGGGGCUAGUUUGGCAGCUGUCAAGCUCUGGAUUAUGCAUCUUGAGCUCUGGCAUCUGCAGCUGUGGUGAGACUCAUCUCGAGCGCCUGCCCUGGCUGAGCUCCAAAGGCCAGAGCUGCUGGGGCAGGGUCACCCAUUCCUGGGCUGUCAGAACCUCCUGGUGGCUACUUUUUUUCAGUCAACCUUGAUAAAAGGAAAUAUGCCUUCCAUUCAGUCCCCUGGCCCAUGUCUUAUUGAAGCUGCCUGCACUAGACUGAAAUUGUGCCAGAAUCUUCCAGCAGGGUCUACAAACCUGCUGUGUGAGGAUUUGAAGCUAAGAAUCUAAUUCAGCACCAGAACAGAAAUAACUGUUAUUAGUUGCAUUAUGUUGCUGCCAGUUCUCUGGGGCCAAGAGAGUCAGGUAAAGAUGGAAAAGUCUUCCUCAGACCCUUUAGAUAUAGUAUGUAGCUUUUUUUUUUUCUUACUAUUAUUCUUCUCCUCUCCAAUCUUUAUAAAGUGAAGGAGACUUUUCAAGGUCCCUGGCGAAUGAGUGAUUGGUCUACACUGUACACAAUGGCCUCACAUCUGAGAGAAGGGGCAGGGUGCCAGAGGCCAUUAGACCCAAUACCACUUGAAGCAGAAAUCUGAAAUCAAAUGCCAGGACAAUAUUCAUAGGCAGGAGCGUUUCCACACUUAGAGAGGAAAUGCAAAAUUGUGAUUGGCAGACUCAGACAUAAAAGUAAUGGGCUCUACAGAAAAGGAGAUAAACUCUGCAGGAAUUAACUGAGAAAGUCACCAACACAAUGCCUGGAAAUGUAGCGAAGACUCAUAAAUGAGGAAUUCACAAUGCUCCCUUUCACCUGUUAUCUUUAAGGGAUAGAAGGAUGGUUUAAUGCUGUACACAAUGUGUUAUUUCUUCAGCAGACUUGUCUGUAAUUGUAAAUCAAGUCCGAUUUAUUUUUUGGAGUCCAGUUAAAACCAAACUCCAUUGUUCCACUUAAGGUUUGUUUGCACAGUCGAGAACAUCCAUUGCAGCCUCUCCUUUAUUGAUCCAAGGUCAAGGAAGCAAAGAUCAGACCAGUACCAGCAGACUACAGGUAUUUAUUUCCCAAGAUCCCAUGACAAAAUAAAUGGAAGCUUCCAGUGAAAGGGUUCAGAAGUUCAAACUUAAAUGAAUUGGAGCCAGAAGGCAAGUGUUUAUUGAGAGAGACUCCAGCUCCAGCUAGAAGUACCUUAAAUUUACACUAGUCCCUCACUUUGACCAUAUGACAGAAUAUUUUAAAUAAAUAUAAAUGGUGUGUAUAUAUAAAUACAUGCACAUAUGAACAUAUGCUCAUAUAAAUAUCUUUUAAAAUCACAUAUCCCUUUUAUGAGUAUAUGUUUAUGUAAUUACCCCAAAAGAAACAAGGUUUCCAUGCUUUGUUCCAAUAUUUCUCACCCUACCCACAACUAAAAUUUAAUAUUUCUUCAAUCAUCAAACUUCAAAGACUUUCAAAGUACUAUGUGUUUCCCUCUGACCCUAUAUUUUAAUGGGGCUAACGCUGGAAUUGUAUGUGCAGAGUAUGUAGGAAAAAAAUAAUUCCUAGAUUUAAGGUCCAAUUCUACUAUAGAUAAAUGUCUCAAACUCUUUGAGCCUCAAGUUUGUAAAACGAGAAUGAUAAUUACAGCAAGAGGGUAAUUGUGAUAACUAUAUGAAGCAACGUUUAUGAAAAGUAUCUCACUAAAUAUUCGAGUACAAUGACAAACAUUAGGAAUUACUAAUAAGACUAUGAUUAUAUUCACCAUUGACAUAAACAGUCAUUCUAGGGGUAGUCAUAGGCAAAAUGACAAGUUUAUGUUCCUUGCCUCCCAUGACUACCCUUAGGUCACACCUGGAUUUCAGCCCUACUUGGCCCUCUGCAGGGCUCCCUUGCUUAUAAACGCCUUUCCCAGCCACGUGCAGGAGCCUUAGAGUAGUGCCUAAGUCAGACUGUCAUGGUCUGUAGUAAGCAUUCUCAUGUCUGAAAUCAGCUCGGAGCUGGUGAUACUGAAACAGUCAACAUCUAAACGGAACCCUUCAAUACAAGAUUUGUAACUACAGAUUUUUCACUAAUUCUUUUCUGAUGGAGUUUAAAAGAGUUGUCAUUAAGCAGCUGCUUUCAGAAGAAAUAAUCAUGGCUAAUUCUCAGCUACAUGAUAAAAAUGUUAUUCCCCCAUACUUCCCGUCCCUCACCACACAAAGGCAUUGAUGAGACGUCCUCAAGUUGGUUUCGCUUUUGUUGGAACAUGUGUUAACUAUUUCACUGGUAUUAGUGAAGCUCGUGGGUACAAACAAUGAAAGAAAUCAUGGUCACAUAUCAUGCCCAGAGCUUCUGGUCCCUUUUUACUAACUCUCUUCUCCCUCAAAUAAAACACAAGCUUCUGCCCAUGGCAGACCCUUAGGAGCCUGGUUACAAAUCCCAUAAGCAGGAAAUGGAAGGAGAAUAUAUUAGGGAGAACAGACCCACCACCAGUUUCCUAAGGGUGGCUCUAAUUACUGUAGACUGCAGGUAAAGGAAGAUAUUUGUCCUCAGACAGAAAAGAGAAAAAAAAAAGUAAAAGAAGAGAAAAAGACACUCUACAUGGGAUACACAGUCCAUGACAGAGCACAAGAUGACACCGACUUUGGAAAAUGAACAUACUCCUCCAAAGCAAAGUCUUUAUCCUAGACACCACAACAUAUUUAUUACGGUGGAAUUAAGCUACACAAAUUAGAAAAAAAUGCCUUCCAAAAUUAAUUCCAUCUUGCAGUAUUAAAUCAGCAUGACUUGGAUUUUUCAAUAACACUGUGGAAUCAACGUUUUAAUUUUUAAAUAAUAUAUGUGAGUAAGUUUUGUAGUUCAUUUCAGGCUGGUAAACAGUGAACUCGGUAGUCAUGCACUAAUGAACAGUAUCAUUUUAAAAAGAUCUCAAAAUUAUGCAAAGUGUUGGAAUUGUUGUUUCAUGGUACUUCACACCUAUUUCGGGCAAAUCUGAUUGUCAAACAAGGAAAUACCUACAAAACUGGUGUUGUAUUUUACAGAUAUCACUUGUCAGCAUUGUAUUACAAGACACUUUUAUAAGAAUCAGCUUUCUCUUGCCAUGGAUCCAGUCCGAUGUUUUCUAAAUAUCCCCCACAUCCUCAAAUGACAAUGGGAACAUUAUUAACAGUCUCAGAUUGAUUGAUGCCUCUCCUUUUAUUUUAUUUUUUUAAUUUUGCUUUUUAGGGCCGCACCUGCAGCAUAUGGAAGUUCCCAGGCUAGGCAUCAAAUUGGAGCUACAGCUGCUGACCUACGCCACAGCAACGGCAAUGCCAGAUCUGAGCCAGGUCUGUAAAC
rnacentral:lncRNA from 1 species